UGGGGAAUUUUGGACAAUGGGCGAAAGCCUGAUCCAGCAAUGCCGCGUGUGUGAAGAAGGCCUUCGGGUUGUAAAGCACUUUUGUCCGGAAAGAGAUCCUUGGCUCUAAUACAGUCGGGGGAUGACGGUACCGGAAGAAUAAGCACCGGCUAACUACGUGCCAGCAGCCGCGGUAAUACGUAGGGUGCAAGCGUUAAUCGGAAUUACUGGGCGUAAAGCGUGCGCAGGCGGUUUGCUAAGACCGAUGUGAAAUCCCCGGGCUCAACCUGGGAACUGCAUUGGUGACUGGCAGGCUAGAGUAUGGCAGAGGGGGGUAGAAUUCCACGUGUAGCAGGUGAAAUGCGUAGAGAUGUGGAGGAAUACCGAUGGCGAAGGCAGCCCCCUGGGCCAAUACUGACGCUCAUGCACGAAAGCGUGGGGAGCAAACAGGAUUAGAUACCCUGGUAGUCCACGCCCUAAACGAUGUCAACUAGUUGUUGGGGGAUUCAUUUCCUUAGUAACGU
rnacentral:rRNA from 1 species